AUCAUCUGGGAAUCAUGUUAAAAUGUAGGCUCUGCUUCAGUAGGUAGAGAUGGAGCCUGAGAGUCUACAUUUCUAACAAGCUCCCAGGUGCUGCUGA
rnacentral:pre_miRNA from 1 species